rnacentral:rRNA from 1 species
AUACGUAGGGUGCAAGCGUUAAUCGGAAUUACUGGGCGUAAAGGGUGCGUAGGCUGUGCGUUAAGUCAGGGGUGAAAUGCCGUCGCUCAACGACGGAGCUGCCCUUGAUACUGGCGUGCUGGAGUACGGAUGCCGUUGGAGGAAUGAGUGGUGUAGCGGUGAAAUGCUUAGAUAUCACUCAGAACACCGAUUGCGAAGGCAUCUGACGAAUCCGUCACUGACGCUGAGGCACGAAAGCGUGGGGAUAGAACAGGAUUAGAUACCCUGGUAUUCCACGCCGUAAACGAUGAUGACUAACCGUCGGCGAUAGACAGCCGGUGGCCAAGCGAAAGCGAUAAGUCAUCCACCUGGGGAGUACGUCGGCAACGAUGAAACUCAAAUGAAUUGACGGGG